GUGGACCAGGCGGAGGUGGUGGGCGUUCAGAUCCAGGGUAGAGCAUCCACUGGAUCAGGAACCCACCGUGCACGAGGUGCCGUUGCAGAUUGUGCAGCCUCCAACCGAGUCAUCGGAGACUCCGAAGCACAAGAUGAGGAGGACAGUGGUCGCGACCUCGCUUCCCCGCCGUUCUCCACGCUUCCCUCGCCGCUCUCCUCGUCUGAACGGCGGCGGUAGCUAUGUUUAGAGAAAAAACCUGGAGUUCACCAGGCUGGCUGAAGUUGUGAGGCUGGGAGGCUGAUGGUGCUGCUACUGGCUGAUCCUUCUUCUUUCAGCUUUUGUUCGUCCUUUCUCAAGCCGUUGGACCAGGGCUACUUCCCUAUGUGCUGUUAAUGUAUUAAGUAGUUCCUUCGAAUUUGUAGUAUUAGUUAGUUUGAAUGUGGAAGUACCUUAAUUUUUAGGAACGAAAUGUUGCUUUGUAUGACCAAGGGUUUGAUACCUUAAUCUUUGGAUAAUUAAUUAUGUGAACUGUUGGA